rnacentral:pre_miRNA from 15 species
UUGUAUCUUCAGCUUUGAGAACUGAAUUCCAUGGGUUGUCUUUGUAUCAGACCUAUGAAACUCAGUUCUUCAGCUGGAAUAUCUCUG